UACGUAGGGGGCAAGCGUUGUCCGGAAUCAUUGGGCGUAAAGCGCGUGUAGGCGGUUCAGUAAGUCUGCUGUGAAAGUCCAGGGCUCAACCCUGGGAUGCCGGUGGAUACUGCUGGGCUAGAGUACGGAAGAGGCGAGUGGAAUUCCUGGUGUAGCGGUGAAAUGCGCAGAUAUCAGGAAGAACACCAACGGCGAAGGCAGCUCGCUAGGACGGUACUGACGCUGGAGACGGCGAAAGCGUGGGGAGCGAACAGG
rnacentral:rRNA from 1 species